ACAGACUAAGUGAGUGUGAAAGUUGAACAAACCCAAAAACCAAUAAACAGAAUAGGAAUCCGAUGCCAAAACAAGGAAUAGAACCUGUGAAAAGCUUUGUGUUCCUAUAUGAAGGUAUGAUAUGUGCAAUAAAGAAUAAUCAGCGGAACUACACACAAUAAAGAAUCAAAGAAUUCAAGACAAAAUAUCGAAAAACCAACCUACAGAAAAAUGAUCAUCGGAUUCCGAAACACUCAGUGCAGAUUCAUAUGGAAGAACCUUGAUUUAUCAGCUGAAUGAAACUCACACCAAGCAUUGAACUCCAUCUCAAAUUGGUAGCUGAAAAACUGAUAAAGUGAUGAAUAGUACUGACCCAUAUCAGCAUUUGAG
rnacentral:lncRNA from 1 species